UACGAAGGGGGCUAGCGUUGCUCGGAAUCACUGGGCGUAAAGCGCACGUAGGCGGCUUACUAAGUCAGGGGUGAAAUCCUGGAGCUCAACUCCAGAACUGCCUUUGAUACUGGUGAGCUUGAGUCCGGAAGAGGUGAGUGGAACUGCGAGUGUAGAGGUGAAAUUCGUAGAUAUUCGCAAGAACACCAGUGGCGAAGGCGGCUCACUGGUCCGGUACUGACGCUGAUGUGCGAAAGCGUGGGGAGCAAACAGG
rnacentral:rRNA from 1 species